GCCUCUUUAUUUUUCUUUUUUAUUUAAAUUAAACUAAAGCCACCAAGGGACUCUUUCAACCAUGAUUUGUUUAUGCCCAUUAUAAAAGCUAAUAGAGACUACAAUUUAAAUGUUCAAUUGAUUCUAGUCAAGUAUUUAGAAAAGUUACAGAAAUUUUAUUCAAUCAAGCAAGCUCUACAAAGUCAAUGUCUAAAUCACCAAAAUAGAGAAUGAAAACCAUAUCAAAAUUUAAAACAACAAGUUAAUUGUAAUUUUAACUACCAUCUU
rnacentral:lncRNA from 1 species